UACGAAGGGGGCUAGCGUUGCUCGGAAUCACUGGGCGUAAAGCGCACGUAGGCGGAUAUUUAAGUCAGGGGUGAAAUCCUGGAGCUCAACUCCAGAACUGCCUUUGAUACUGAGGAUCUUGAGUCCGGGAGAGGUGAGUGGAACUCCGCGUGUAGAGGUGAAAUUCGUAGAUAUUCGGAAGAACACCAGUGGCGAAGGCGGCUCACUGGCCCGGUACUGACGCUGAGGUGCGAAAGCGUGGGGAGCAAACAGG
rnacentral:rRNA from 1 species